rnacentral:lncRNA from 7 species
AUUCAUCCUAUGCUCUGCCCUGAAUGCCAGUCUAGGACUCUCCAGUUUCUCACUAACACCCAGAGCCAUUUCAAUUCCCAGCAACAGCGAGAACAGAAAGAAGCAGCAUUCAUUUCAGGUAUGCCCUUGUUUCCCCAACCUGGCUAAGUGGAGAAAUGAGUUGAACUGUUGUUGAGAAGCAGAAGACUGCAAGCAUUUGACUCCAACUGUAUAACCUAUGACUGAAUGGCUCAUCAAAUACUGAAAAGCAAGCCUAGAAGAAACCACGUGGAAGCUUCAUGAAGGGACAGAAUCCAAAGGAUGCUACACUAUAAGACUGCUCUCUCCUAGAUGACAGUGUCAGCACCGUGCAGAACCUGUGCUGCAUAAGCUCAGCUGUUUGUGUGGUGGUACAGCAAAAUAACCAAAGGAAUUGGUCUGUGAAAAAUUAUCAAAGGAAUAGGCAGUAUGUGGGCAGAAACCUGUGGCUGAAACUGGUGAUGUGGGGCAAAUGCUGCUUAAGAAACUGAUACAGACUGCCAAACCAUGUGCUGGCUUCUGAAAAAAAAAUGGAGCUUUUCUCUGAGCCAGAACUGUGUUGGCUUGUUAAAGGCAAGCUAUCUUUAGCUGCAAUUAGAGCUGAUUAUUUCAGCUCCCCCAAAAUGGUCACUCCAGAGCAGAGACUGGCUGCAUGAUAGUCGCGUGGAGGGUUGUGGCUCUCAGGUCCGGACUCACGAGGAGCUCCUGGGGACCACCCUGCCUCCAGAAGCACAUUGUGGCUGGACUGCAUGGGGAUUAAUAACUAAGCUGGUCUAACAGCUGGGGACCAAAUCUGCUUGGCAGAAAGCCAGGAUAGAUGACAACAGAGAAAAAUAAAUUUCUUUCUAGACUGCACUUAGAUUUCUUUCUCUCUGGGUACGACUCUCCUGGUUUUCCCAGUAGCCAAGUAUGGUGAAGAGGAGGUGGUGGUUUAGAAGAAGCCAUUUCCUGAUGGAAUUCCUAAGAAUGAUCAUUUAUCUGAUAGGCAGAGCUGAAGCAAUUUUUCUUCCUAAUGGGACAGAAGCUGUCCCCCGAUCCUGGCAGAACAGCAGCACUGGGAAUUCAUCCUCCUUCAGGGUUCGCUAUUAAAGCAAACGUACAUGUAAAGU